rnacentral:lncRNA from 1 species
AUGGCUUUAAAAAACGAAUAUUCAGGAUUUUGUUUCCAUAAAGAGAAAUCAAAUAACAUUGAUGUUAUUGAUGAAUAUAUAAGCGCAGAACAUUUUUAUUUGAAUUAUAUUUUAAAAAGAAAGCCAUGUCUAUUAAAAAGAAAAAAUAUAAUUAAAAAUAAACACAAUAUAGAUAUAAAAUUUUUGAAGGAAAAUAUAGAAAAUGUACCUGUUGAAUUAGAACAAAAAGUUUCAAAUUCUUUUGGGACAGGAGAAAAGAAAAAAAUGAAUUUUCAUGAAUUUUUAUCAUUAAUAGAAAAAGGAAAUACUGAUUACUAUUUAAAUACACAAUACAUAAAAGAAAAUGCUUAUUUCCCAACUGAUUUCUGUAACUCAAUUACUCGCCAAAUAAUAAAUUAUCUUCCAAAACAAUUAGAAAUAAUGGGUAACUUAGAAAUUUAUCAGUACAAUAUUUGGAUAGGAAAGAAUGAAGAUAAAGACUUAAAAACAUUUUUACACCAUGAUUAUCAUGAUAAUAUAUAUGUACUAUUGAAAGGAAAGAAAAUAUUUAGGAUUUAUAGUCCAAAUUUCGCAAAUUUGUUAAAAAUGAAUGGAAAUAUUUAUCGUAUUUAUAAUAAUGGAUUAAUCACAUAUUCCCCAUUCAUUAGAAGUGAUGGAUCUAAUUACUUAGAUGUAUAUAAAAAAAAAAUGGAUAGGGUGUACCGUGAUAUGAACAUUAUGACUAAACAAAUUAACAAAAAAAACAAUUUAUUAAAACACAAAGCUAUAGAACAAUCCAUGGAUAAAGCGGAACAGAUAUUAAAUAAACUAGAAGAUAACAUUUUAAAUUACAAAAUAAGAAAAUCUAAAUUUCGAUAUAAAAAUAACGCAAGAGACGACAUACCAAACCACUUCUGCCUCAUUAACACUAUAGAAAAAAAACAAGAAGAUGAUAUUUUUACUGACACUACUGAAAUACAAAAAAGAUAUAUUGAAGUCUGUGUAGAUGAAGGAGAUAUAUGUUAAGAACAAACAUGACAAGAGUUAACAUUAACAUAAUAUAUAUAUAUAUGUGUAUAUUCAUAUAAACACUUUUGCGGAUUUUUUUUUAUUUUUUUUAUUUUUUUAACAGUGUAUUUACCA